CUACGGAGUACAUAUAUUUAUCCUAAGUGAUAAAUUCAUCUUUGGCUGUAAAAUCCUUUAAAAUCAAUAAAUUAUUUUAAAGGCGUGUUAUGUUGUGUAUAAGCCAGCAAAUAUUCUUGUAUCCAGUUUUGAGAGCUCUAUGUUCUCAAAAAAUAGUUCUUUGAAAACUGAAUAGCAAAAUACCAAUGAAAUGAAAAUUUCAUAAUAUUUUAACGAAAACGACAUCAAAUAUUUUUAUUAAUAUUUGAUAACCGAGGUAAAAAAAGAAAUUUUUUUACAACCAAAUUGAUCAAAAUUAAAUUGCUUAGAUAUACAAAUCUAAAACAAUAGGCUUAAAAAAAUAAAGUUAUUGG
rnacentral:misc_RNA from 1 species